CUUCUCUGCUGCCCUUCAGUGCGGUGUCCGAAUCGUUGAACUAUGCAAUCUCCUGUGCGGUUCCGGGCACCUGCGAAAAUAAACAACGUUCUGCUUGCUGCUUCUUUGAACAACACGAAAGAAACGUUCAGUGGCCUCAAAUCGGAGUAGCAUUCUACUAAUAUAGACAAAUAUCAUCUUCAUAAACAAACCCGCAAGCAUACGGAAGUUGACAUUCGCCUUAUUGACGAACCUUUUGCUUGAAUUGACUGGGGUGGUAUGAUGUAAGGACUCAUCGCUCGCUUCUCGUGCAUAUAUGUGUAUUUUAUUUAUUUCUAUUUCUCCAUAUUUUUGUUUCCUGGUUUUGCAUAUAGAGUAUGGAAAUAAAGAAGUUUAAUCGCUCA